rnacentral:misc_RNA from 1 species
AAGAUAUGAUUUCUAAUCUGUUUAAUUCUAGGUUACUGGAUUUAUGGAAUCAUCUUUAUUAUUCUUGUUUUUAUUAAAUCAAAACUUCUUCCAGAAGGGCACAAAACCCACGAGGAUCAUUCUGCCAACAGUACUGGUCCCCUGCAACAGCACAGUUUGUUCUACACUAUGGGGAUCUGUUUGAUACUACAGGGGCUCUUCAGUGCAAUCUUCCAUAUCUGUCCUUCCAACAUCUCCUUGCAGUUCGACACUACCAUGAUGAACAUGAUGAUGAUCCUUGUGUUUAUCAAGAUCUUCCAACUACGCCACGCUGACACAGCCUACAAUGCGUUCCACGUGAUGUAUGUGUUUGCUGUUGUUCUUGUGUUUGAGGCUGUAUCCUUGUAUGUCUUCAAUACUGCUUGGAGAUUAGUUCUGUAUGUACUGUUUGUAUUCUGUUAUGUACUGCUGAUGGUACAUAUGGGUGUGGAUAUAUAUUACUAUGGAGCAGUUAAAACUAGUAUCAGAAAGAUGGUCCCAGUGAUGGUAAAGCAUGCUUUAAGAUACAAGGAGGAAUGUUUGAAUACGAAGAAGUUUAUUCUAACCUCCGUCUUUUUCCUUAUCAAUACCUUUCUUCUCAGCUUCAUUGUUUACAGAGCAUCACAGGAUCCUGGACGUAGUUUAUCCACUCCUCUUCUAUUCAUUGGUGGUGCAAAUGUUGGAAUGUACCUGGUUUACUAUUUUGUAAACAAACUACAGGAAAUCUGCUAUGAUGAAGAGUUGGAGCAAGAUAGUACCACACCAACGAAAUUCAUGCGAGGUUUAAGUUUCAUUUUCUUCCUUACAGCUCUGGUGAUUGGUGUUAUUGCUGGUGUAUUCUACUACAUGAAGCAUCAGAGUAGGAAUAGUACUCCACCUGAAUCCAGGAACAAGAACGAGUUGUGCAACUUGAUGAACUUCUACGACAACCACGACCUUUGGCACUUCUUCUCGGGCACAGCGUUGUUCUUUGCUCUGGUUGGUCUUCUGAUCAUUGACGACGACCUCCUGUUUAUCGACCGGGGGCGUAUUCGGGUUUUUUAAACAGAGAAAAUAACCGUUAACUCUUACAUUGUUACAAAUGUUUUUUAUGUUAGUUACCUAUUUUUUCGGAAAAGGGAACCCUGUUUUGUUUAACCUGAUAUUUUUAAAGGACUGUAAAGUAACCCCCUAAAAGCUUGGCCUGGUCAAGAAUGAACGAGAUCUGCAGGACCUGUAGAAAAACAUUUAUCUAAUGCAAAAUUUAUAACUUACAUUGUAAAAUCUACAAUAUUUAUGAAUCUUAUUUAAAGAAUAUUAAUAUUAUUAAUGUACAUUAAAUAGUAUAUUUUUCAGAUUGUGCCAUUUUAGAAACUUUAAUCAAAGCAAAUUUAAUUAUUUUAAUGAAUUUAUUGUCAGUUUAGAAAUUGGCCUAAAAUCAAUGGUGCUAUCAGCCUAUCUUGUUUUUUACAAAAUGUGUUCUUAUUAUGUAUAUUUUCUGAACAUUUUAGUUUUUAUGUAAAAAUUAAUGGAAACCUUAUCGGAAUUUAAAAACACAUGUAAGCCGAACACAGGCAGAUCUUUAAAAUAUUUUGAUGCAUGUAUAAGUGCUUCACGGAUAAAUAGUAUUCUUUUGUUAACUGUGUGCAAUCAAAUUGUAAAUCAUUAAUUAUAAUUUCAAUAAAGUUUCUUUAACAAAAAACUGGA